GACGAACGCUGGCGGCGUGCUUAACACAUGCAAGUCGAGCGGAAAGGCCCUUUUGGGGGUACUCGAGCGGCGAACGGGUGAGUAACACGUGAGUAAUCUGCCUUUGGCUUUGGGAUAAGCCUCGGAAAUGGGGUCUAAUACCGGAUAUGACAGCUCCACGCAUGUGGUGGUUGUGGAAAGUUUUUUCGGCCAGGGAUGUGCUCGCGGCCUAUCAGCUUGUUGGUGGGGUAAUGGCCUACCAAGGCUUUGACGGGUAGCCGGCCUGAGAGGGUGACCGGCCACACUGGGACUGAGACACGGCCCAGACUCCUACGGGAGGCAGCAGUGGGGAAUAUUGGACAAUGGGCGGAAGCCUGAUCCAGCAACGCCGCGUGAGGGAUGACGGCCUUCGGGUUGUAAACCUCUUUCAGUACCGACGAAGCGCCGGUGAUGGUGGUGACGGUAGGUACAGAAGAAGCACCGGCCAACUACGUG
rnacentral:rRNA from 1 species